rnacentral:rRNA from 1 species
AUGGUUGGAUACUGCAACGACAAAGAACACAUGGCCCUUGUGUACGAGUACAUGUCUGAAGGAGCUCUACAUGAACAUCUUAGAGGGAGUGACAAAACUUUAACCUGGGGACAGAGACUUUGUAUUGCCUUGGAAUCUGCACAAGGGCUUGAGUAUCUACACAAGGGGUGCAAUCCACCCCUCAUUCAUAGGGAUGUGAAGACAUCCAACAUUUUGCUGAAUGCCAACCUUGAGGCCAAGAUUGCCGAUUUUGGCCUACUCAAGGCUUUCAAUAGUGAUUGUGAUACCCAUGUGUCCACAGCCAGGUUGGUCGGCACGCGUGGUUACCUUGCCCUUGAGUAUGUAGCAACAUUGCAGCUGACUAAUAAGAGCGACGUAUAUAGUUUCGGAGUAGUGCCGUUGGAAAUAGUCACGGGCCGCCCUCACAUCUUGAACGAUCCAGAACCUAUAAGCAUCACCGAGUGGGCGCAGCAAUGCCUUUCCCAGGGCAACAUAGAGGGCGUAUUUGACGCGCGCAUGCGGGGAGAGCACGACAUCAAUGGUGUCUGGAAAGCAGCGGGCAUUGCUCUUAAGUGCACUGCGCAAACACCAGCGCAACGGCCCACAAUGACCGAGGUAGUGGCGCAGCUGAAAGAGUGUCUCGACCUUGAGACUAUGCGCUGCAGGGGUGGCAGCGCGAAUGCCAUGUUCUACACAGCGGGGAGCAGCGACCCAGUCUCAAGUUAUGAUGGUUACACCACUAACCAGUCCGCUGGUGUGAGUCGUAUCAAUGUUGUAGACAUGGAUCAUUUAGGCAGGGUCCCAACCAUGACUACUGGUCCAGUUGCAAGGUGA